GACGAACGCUGGCGGCGCGCUUAACACAUGCAAGUCGAGCGAAGCGGCGGACGGGUGCGUAACACGUGAGUAACCUGCCUUAGACAUUGGGAUAGUCUCGGGACACCGGGAUUAAUACCAAAUGGUCUAAGAUGGACUCGCGUCGCAUUAGGUAGUUGGUGAGGUAACGGCCCACCAAAGCGACAAUGGGUAGCCGGCCAGAGAGGGAGAACGGACACGUUUGAGCGAGGCAACGUACGAAAAUCUGCGGGAGGCGGCAGUGGGGAAUAUUGCACUAUGGAGGGAGCUCUUAUGGAGCGACGCUGCGAUAGCGAAGAAGGCUUGCGAGUCGUAAAGUACUUUUAUAUGGGAAGCGGUACCAUAAGAAAAAGCCCCGGCUAACUACGGGCCAGCAGCCGCGGUAAUUC
rnacentral:rRNA from 1 species